rnacentral:rRNA from 1 species
CUCUUGACAUCCAGCGAACUUUCCAGAGGUGGAUUGGUGCCUUCGGGAACGCUGAGACAGGUGCUGCAUGGCUGUCGUCAGCUCGUGUUGUGAAAUGUUGGGUUAAGUCCCGCAACGAGCGCAACCCUUAUCCUUUGUUGCCAGCGAUUCGGUCGGGAACUCAAAGGAGACUGCCGGUGAUAAACCGGAGGAAGGUGGGGAUGACGUCAAGUCAUCAUGGCCCUUACGAGUAGGGCUACACACGUGCUACAAUGGCGCAUACAAAGAGAAGCGACCUCGCGAGAGCAAGCGGACCUCAUAAAGUGCGUCGUAGUCCGGAUCGGAGUCUGCAACUCGACUCCGUGAAGUCGGAAUCGCUAGUAAUCGUGGAUCAGAAUGCCACGGUGAAUACGUUCCCGGGCCUUGUACACACCGCCCGUCACACCAUGGGAGUGGGUUGCAAAAGAAGUAGGUAGCUUAACCUUCGGGAGGGCGCUUACCACUUUGUGAUUCAUGACUGGGGUGAAGUCGUAACAAGGUAAGCGUAGCGAG